rnacentral:rRNA from 1 species
GAACGAGAAAGUGGAGCAAUCCAUCAGUAAAGUGGCGACCGGGUGAGUAACACGUGACUAACCUACCCUCGAGUGGGGAAUAACCUCGGGAAACCGGGGCUAAUACCGCAUAACGUCUUUGGACCAAAGGAGCAAUUCGCUUGAGGAGGGGGUCGCGGCCGAUUAGCUAGUUGGCGGGGUAACGGCCCACCAAGGCAAUGAUCGGUAGCCGGCCUGAGAGGGCGCACGGCCACACUGGAACUGAAACACGGUCCAGACUCCUACGGGAGGCAGCAGUGGGGAAUAUUGCGCAAUGGGCGAAAGCCUGACGCAGCGACGCCGCGUGGGUGAUGAAGGCCUUCGGGUCGUAAAGCCCUGUCAAGAGGGACGA